CUGAUUCAAUGGACAUGACAUGUGCAAAACAUUUAACAUUUUGAAUAAUGUUUUUCUAAUAAUAAUUUUCUUUUAUAUAAGGUUUAAAACUCAUUAUAUGAUAUGUAUGCAUGUUUGUAUAAUGCAGCAAUAAUUUCUACAUUAAUACUCUUAAACAUCCAAAGCAAAGGAACAUUGCUUUUAUUACUGUUCUUCAUUUUUAAACCAAAGUCUUGAUACUUGUAAUCUAAUUUUAUUUUCAUUGUAUAUAGAGAGCAUCAUGAACUAUAUUUUAGGAUUUAAUAACAGUAGAUUGUAUAUUGCUCUAAUUUUAAAUUUGGAAUUGAAUUGUAUAUAGCAUCAUUGCAUAUGAAUUGUACAUGCAAUUUCUGUAAGGUCCCAUGUCAGAUUUUUUGUACUAAAUAGAUCUCAUCUUUUAUAUAAGUUUUCCCAUAUUUCAAUAUUAAAUGUAUUGGUUUGUAUGUACAUGUAAACAUUGUUUCAGAUAUUUGUUAUCUGGCCUAAAAUGAAAGUCUUUGAAAUCUAUUAAGUUCUAAAUAUUGUGUAAAAGUAGUAAACAUUAGAUUUGAGUGUUCCUCAUGAAGGUAAAUCCAUAAAAGGUGUUUCAGAGGCAUCUAAUUGAUAAAGUGUUGUUUUCUUUUAUUUAUUUUUCAUUAAUGAUCACAUUUCAAUUUUUAAUUGUAAUAUUCUACUGUAGCAUGUUGAGGUAUCAUAUAUAUAAUCAAUCAC
rnacentral:lncRNA from 1 species